GCAAGCUUGCUUGGUGGAUCAGUGGCGAACGGGUGAGUAACACGUGAGCAACCUGCCCUGGACUCUGGGAUAAGCGCUGGAAACGGUGUCUAAUACUGGAUAUGAGCUCUCAUCGCAUGGUGGGGGUUGGAAAGAUUUUUCGGUCUGGGAUGGGCUCGCGGCCUAUCAGCUUGUUGGUGAGGUAAUGGCUCACCAAGGCGUCGACGGGUAGCCGGCCUGAGAGGGUGACCGGCCACACUGGGACUGAGACACGGCCCAGACUCCUACGGGAGGCAGCAGUGGGGAAUAUUGCACAAUGGGCGGAAGCCUGAUGCAGCAACGCCGCGUGAGGGAUGACGGCCUUCGGGUUGUAAACCUCUUUUAGCAGGGAAGAAGCGAGAGUGACGGUACCUGCAGAAAAAGCGCCGGCUAACUACGUGCCAGCAGCCGCGGUAAUACGUAGGGCGCAAGCGUUAUCCGGAAUUAUUGGGCGUAAAGAGCUCGUAGGCGGUUUGUCGCGUCUGCUGUGAAAUCCCGAGGCUCAACCUCGGGCCUGCAGUGGGUACGGGCAGACUAGAGUGCGGUAGGGGAGAUUGGAAUUCCUGGUGUAGCGGUGGAAUGCGCAGAUAUCAGGAGGAACACCGAUGGCGAAGGCAGAUCUCUGGGCCGUAACUGACGCUGAGGAGCGAAAGGGUGGGGAGCAAACAGGCUUAGAUACCCUGGUAGUCCACCCCGUAAACGUUGGGAACUAGUUGUGGGGACCAUUCCACG
rnacentral:rRNA from 1 species